rnacentral:rRNA from 1 species
GAUGAACGCUGGCGGCGUGCCUAAUACAUGCAAGUCGAGCGAACAGACGAGGAGCUUGCUCCUCUGACGUUAGCGGCGGACGGGUGAGUAACACGUGGAUAACCUACCUAUAAGACUGGGAUAACUUCGGGAAACCGGAGCUAAUACCGGAUAAUAUAUUGAACCGCAUGGUGCAAUAGUGAAAGACGGUUUUGCUGUCACUUAUAGCUGGAUCCGCGCCGCAUUAGCUAGUUGGUAAGGUAACGGCUUACCAAGGCAACGCUGCGUAGCCGACCUGAGAGGGUGAUCGGCCACACUGGAACUGAGACACGGUCCAGACUCCUACGGGAGGCAGCAGUAGGGAAUCUUCCGCAAUGGGCGAAAGCCUGACGGAGCAACGCCGCGUGAGUGAUGAAGGUCUUCGGAUCGUAAAACUCUGUUAUUAGGGAAGAACAAAUGUGGAAGUAACUAUGCACGUCUUGACGGUACCUAAUCAGAAAGCCACGGCUAACUACGUG